AAAAGAAACUAACGAGGAUUCCCCUAGUAACUGCGAGUGAAGCGGGAAAAGCUCAAAUUUAAAAUCUGGCGGUCUUUGGCCGUCCGAGUUGUAGUCUGGAGAAGCGUCUUCUACGCCGGACCGUGUACAAGUCCCUUGGAACAGGGCGUCAUAGAGGGUGAGAAUCCCGUCCAUGACACGGACCGCCGGUGGUUUGUGAUGCGCUCUCGAAGAGUCGAGUUGUUUGGGAAUGCAGCUCAAAAUGGGUGGUAAAUUCCAUCUAAAGCUAAAUACUGGCGAGAGACCGAUAGCGAACAAGUACCGUGAGGGAAAGAUGAAAAGCACUUUGGAAAGAGAGUUAAACAGUACGUGAAAUUGCUGAAAGGGAAACGCUUGAAGUCAGUCGCGUCGGCCGGGGCUCAGCCUUGCAUUCGUUUGCUCGGUUUACUUCCCGGUCGACGGGCCAGCGUCGAUUUUGACCGUCGGAGAAGGGCCAGAGGAAAGUGGCACCUUCGGGUGUGUUAUAGCCUUCGGUCGCAUACGACGGUUGGGAUCGAGGAACGCAGCACGCCUUCAAUGGCCGGGGCAUUCGUGCCCACGCAUCGUGCUUAGGAUGCUGGCGUAAUGGCUUUAAACGACCCGUCUUGAAACACGGACCAAGGAGUCUAACGUGCCUGCGAGUG
rnacentral:rRNA from 1 species